rnacentral:lncRNA from 1 species
AGAUCUUGCUGUUGAAUACCAGCUUUAUCAUUUGGAAGCCAACUUACGUAUGUAACAAAAAAUAUAAGGCCAGAUAAAGAGAGCUGAGAAACCCUGAGUCUUUAGGAGAACUCAUGGGUGGAGUUACGGAUUCUGUAAAGGCAAAAAAGGCUUUGCACCAAGGUUCAAUAGAAGUUCAAAAUAUAAAAUAGAAAUGGCUCAAUACCAAAGUCCUGGUAUCCGAAAAUCCCACAGACUUUGGAAUUUGAAGUUCAUGGUAUUAAUCUAAUUUGUUCUAGCUGGGUAGCCAGCCCUUUGUGUGCCUGACAGCUGUCUGUUACAAGCAAGAAUACAUCUGAUGCGGUAGAGGGAUAUAUUGGCCUUCUCUGCUUCCUAAACAGAAGAGAAUUUGCCAUUUCUAACUGGUGCCAGCACAGAAGCAAAGGUGCAUCUGGGAAGGGAGUUGUGCACUUGAACUCCACUUGCAGAGAACGACUGGUGAAAUGUGUGCUAGAAGCAACCGGAUCCAUAACUCUGAUUAAAGAGGUUCUACAAAAGUAACUGUUCUACUGAUUAACGAGUUGAGGCUCUA